ACCGGCCUUUCUUCUCCCUGGAAAUAUGAAUCAAUGAUCGAGCCACCUGGGAGAAUAAAAAAUCAAAAUAAAAUCAAGCCUCUACAAUCAAAGUAUUGACCUCCGGUGCAUCUAAGGAGGUUCAAUCCACCGUUUAUCUUUCACAGCUUGCGCUAUCACUCGUCGGGGGCUUCUUCAACCCAAUAUCUAUCUUCGACGCCAACAAAGGAGUCCGCCGCAAGUAGAUAAUGGAUCUUGAGUCUCCUUCAAAGGCAACCACUGUAAAACCUAGAUCUAUGGAAAGUUGGAUCGCAUGGAUAGCAGCAAUGGCUUCGACAGCAAAAGCUGAGCAUCAAAAUUUGUUUUGACCCAAGGAGCAGCUGGAGGACGUCAUCGAACCUGAAGAGGGGGUGAGAUGAGCUUGGAACAAACUUGCACGAACGCGAACUCUUUGCAAUAGGCAAGAAUACAGGCAGCAAUUUCCCACUGU